rnacentral:rRNA from 1 species
UCAACGGAGAGUUUGAUCCUGGCUCAGGACGAACGCUGGCGGCGUGCUUAACACAUGCAAGUCGAGCGGUAAGGCCCUUUCGGGGGUACACGAGCGGCGAACGGGUGAGUAACACGUGAGUAACCUGCCCUACACUUUGGGAUAACCCCGGGAAACCGGGGCUAAUACCGAAUAUGACCACUCUCGGCAUCUUGAGUGGUGGAAAGCUCCGGCGGUGAAGGAUGGACUCGCGGCCUAUCAGCUUGUUGGCGGGGUAACGGCCCACCAAGGCAACGACGGGUAGCCGGCCUGAGAGGGUGACCGGCCACACUGGGACUGAGACACGGCCCAGACUCCUACGGGAGGCAGCAGUGGGGAAUAUUGCACAAUGGGCGCAAGCCUGAUGCAGCGACGCCGCGUGAGGGAUGACGGCCUUCGGGUUGUAAACCUCUUUCAGCUCUGGAGAAGCCUUCGGGUGACGGUAGGAGCAGAAGAAGCACCGGCUAACUACGUGCCAGCAGCCGCGGUAAUACGUAGGGUGCGAGCGUUGUCCGGAAUUAUUGGGCGUAAAGAGCUUGUAGGCGGUUUGUCGCGUCUGCUGUGAAA